AGCUGAGCUAGGCCGGAGUGCUAGGCGUACUUUGUUACCUUCAACCGUCUUUAGGAGGGGCGACAGCUGUUAGCGGCACUACUUGUGUGCAAACAAUCCGCAAAAUUCAUGUCGAAACCCUGUCCCUCGGGGUUGCAGGAAGUUGCAGAGGAUUACCGGAGGGUAAUUUUCGAGCUCUUAUCGUGGAAAUCGGGUCAGGCCCGGAAGGGAGCAGCCUUACCACGGACUAACAACGCUCGAGUGGGUCGCGGGGUGGAGUGGAUCUGCGGUGUCGGGUGCAUGCUGGAAGUGACAACAACAGUUGCUCAGCA
rnacentral:SRP_RNA from 1 species